rnacentral:rRNA from 1 species
GACAGAGGAUGCAAGCGUUACCCGGAAUGAUUGGGCGUAAAGCGUCUGUAGGCGGCUUUUUAAGUCUGCCGUCAAAUCCCAGGGCUUAACCCUGGACAGGCGGUGGAAACUACCAAGCUGGAGUACGGUAGGGGCAGAGGGAAUUUCCGGUGGAGCGGUGAAAUGCGUAGAGAUCCGGAAGAACACCAGUGGCGAAAGCGCUCUGCUGGACCGUGACUGACACUCAGGGACGAAAGCUAGGGGAGCGAAUGGG